rnacentral:rRNA from 1 species
UACGUAGAGGGCAAGCGUUGUCCGGAUUUAUUGGGCGUAAAGAGCGUGUAGGCGGUCUGGUAGGUCCGUUGUGAAAACUCGAGGCUCAACCUCGAGACGCCGAUGGAAACCAUCAGACUAGAGUCCGGAAGAGGAGAGUGGAAUUCCUGGUGUAGCGGUGAAAUGCGCAGAUAUCAGGAAGAACACCCGUGGCUAAGGCGGCUCUCUAGUACGGUACUGACGCUGAGACGCGAAAGCGUGGGGAGCGAACAGG